UAUUUCUUAACAGAAACUCACCUGGAAAAAUUUGGAAAAAAUUUUUGCAGGGAAUUUUUCUUUUUUAUUCUAGUGACAUGAAAUCAGAUUUUAUAUGUCAAUAUUAAAGACCUAUUGAUAUAUCAACAGAAAAAUAAGUGUUCUCCUCCAAGGUGAUGAUAGUUUUACUGCAGUAAACUAUAAAAAAACACAGUAUAAAACUUAUCAUUCUAUCUAACACAAUUAAGAAACAGUGAUUCCAAGCAACUCUUCUUGCUUUGUUCAAACCCACUUUGGGAGAAGAUGUGGAGAACUUUUUGUGGAAAUGGAAAAUGAUGCAGAUACUAUGAAACACAGUAUUGAGAUUACUCAAAAGGUUAAAUGUAGGGAAUUCCCAUUGUGGCAUAGAGGUUAAGAAGCCUGCUAGUAUCCAUGAGGAGGUGGGUUCAGUUCCUGACCUUGAUUAGUGGGCUAAGGAUCUGGCAUUGCUCUGAGCUGUGAGGUAGAUUAUAGAUGCAUCUCAGGUCCUGCAUUGCUGUGGCUUUGUCAUAUGUAAGCAGCUGCAGCUAGGGUGACCCUAGCCUGGGAAUGUCCAUAUGCUGUAGGUGUGGUCUUAAGCAGGAAUAAAUAAACAAAUAAAUAAAUAAAUAAAUAUCACAAGAUCCAGCAAUUCCUCUUCUAUUUUUGUGAAGAAAGUUAAAAUACUAAUUUGAAAAUACAUAAGCCCUCCUGUGUUUAUUACAGCGUCACUGUAAUCAUUAAAUAAGGAAGCAGCCUAAGUACACAUUAAUAGAUGGAUAAUUAUGUACAUGUAAAAUGGAAUCUUAUUCCACCAUAGAAAAUAAUGAAAUCUUGACGUUUGUGACAACAUAGCUGAGUCUAGUGUGUAUUGUGCUAAGUAAACUAAAUCAUGCAGAGAGAAAGGAAAUGUACAAUUUCACUUAUAUGUGGAAUCUAAAAACAGAAGAAAUGAAAAAACAAUCAAACAAAAGUCAUAGAUCCAUAGGACAAGCAGUUGGUUUCCAGAAGGGAGGGUUUGGAGGUGGAAACAGGUGAGGGAUAUUAAAAAGUUAAAAAAAAGUUACCAGGGUUUGCAUUUCAAAACAACUGUAUAUUUUCCAUCUGUAAUAUUGGGAUAUUUUUCUAGUAUAAAACAAAGUCAUGACAUUUUGAGGAUGCUACCUUGAUGUGAUUUGCACGUAGAAAUAUUUCACUAGGACCAAAACCAAGCAAUUCCAUUUGGGGCAUUGGGAAAAAUACUAUUUUAACAAAAGCUGAAAAGUGAGGUAGACCCUAGGUAUUAUUAAUUAUUUAUUUGUAUUAAUUGAUUAUAAUUUUGUUUAAUUUAUUAUUUAAUUAUUUAAUUUUUAUUGUGAUCUAGCUAUGACGGGAUCUUUGAGGUUCCAAAUAGGAAUGCCUGAUCUUGGGAGUCAAGGAAAUAUAUAUUGAAGGAUAAUGUUCAUAAUGAGCUCACAAGAAUUAGAACUUAACUUGAUCAAGGGUUGGACAGAUCAUUCCAAAAACAGAACAGAAUGUGUGAGGAUCCUGAGGCAGGAAGAAUAAUGGAUUAUUCUAUGGAUUGAAGAAAAAACAUUGAGACAAAUUCAGGAAGGACAGAUAGGACUCAUGGGGAAAGCAGGUCUAGAUGAUGCAAGGUUGUGAAUAUACAGUGAGGAUUUUGGUCUAUCUUCUGGAAAGAGAAGCACUGACCUCUUUAGUAGGAUAGUUAAAUGACUGGAUUUGUGUUUUCAAAGGAGGAAAGAAGAGAGUAUAAAUAAACUUGGAAAAACUAAAAAUCAUUGAGACCAAGGGAGACUGUAACGAGUAUUAACAAAGGAAUAAGAUAAAUAAGACAUAUUUGAGCAGUAACCAUCUAUUGAAAUUAGGUGCCAGGGUUAUGACAAGGGAAGAAGUCUUGGAGGAUUGUUAGGAUUGUUUCAAGAGCUGUAUUCGUCUCUAAAAGAACUAUUUUUAUUUUUUUAAUGUGGUGGGCUAAGGGCCAAGGGAAGAAAUUAUGAACCCUGUUUACACCUGAAUUUGAAAUCCCUAUGAAGUAUCCAGGUGAAGUUGACAAGCGGGCAGUUAGAUGUAUAGAGCUGAAACCAAGAAGUGAGAUUUAAACUGGUGCUAUAAUGAUAUCUACCAUUGUGAGGCAUUCACCAAAUGACAAGCAUUCUUCUAAAGCAUUACAUGUACUAAUUAUUUAAUCAUUAUAACAACUCUAUAAAAGUUAUUAAUAUUACCUCCAGUUUCCAGAAGAGGGAACUGAGACAUGGAGAGCUUCAGCAACUUGCUCAUCAUUACACCAGGAGUAAGUAGAUAAAAAGAAAUGGGUUAACAACAGACCUGCAAUCUAUUCCCUCCCUUUACUGGGAAUGCCUCGGGAAAGAAAUAUAAUCUGAUCAAAUCUCAUUAUAAAUACCUAGUGAUAGACUUCCUGGAAAACAUAAGAAUAAUGUUUACUACUGGAGGGUGUCUAUCUAUGUAAAGAUUUAUAGUAUUUACCUGGUCUUUCUAGGUAAAUGGUCUUCCCAGAAUUGCUUAAGAUAAAACUGAAACCUAUAUUCCUCUGAGCAUGGCUCCAUG
rnacentral:lncRNA from 1 species